CACCAAUUGAUUUUUAACUUUAAACACAAGUAUGUUGUUUUGAAUUUAAUUAACAACAUAAUAUUUCAAUACAACAAAAUGCAGUAAAUUAAAUCCAACGUAAAAAGUUCAUUUAAAAUGAAGAGCACUUUAAUUUAAAGAGGAUUGUCCUAAUAGGCUCUCCGUACUUCUGAGUUUGCACAUGUGCAGUGUGGAAGUUUGAUCAUCCGCCAUUUUCAACUGAGACUUGCAUAUGCUUAGCAUCCUGGAUAGAAUCCAUCGCCAUCCGAGGAUUAUUUGUUUCCAUUGGUUAUCAUCGCUACCGAAGACAGGAAAUCAUCAAAGACAUGCCAUUCAUUGCAGAGGUCAACAACAGACGGCCUGCCCUGUUUUCAGAGACUGAGGUUGUUGCAGAGUUCACCCGCAUCACCAUGGUCCCUUUGUUGUCGACUUUCAUGGCCAAGCUGGACCGCUAUGCUGACCACCUUCUUAGAGUGUUCAAAAAGAAGGGGGGGACAGCUAAACGCAAUAUCAACUUAAUCAUGACAGCCAUGGAUGGGAAUCCCAGUGUUGAUGUUUGACGGGAAUGCAUUCUGAAAGCUGUCUGUGUCUACUUAAAUGAAAAGCCAGAUGACCUGUUCAAGGAAUUCUUGGAUGUGGAUCUUGGUGCAAGCAGAGAAACGGAGCAGCUGACUUUGGGAGUCUAUGUUGUCAGACAUGAAGGAGCAAACUCUGCAGAUACACCUGAGGACAUUGGUGUCAUCAUAGAAGGAUGCACUGUGCUGCAAGCUCUUAGUGAUGUGGCAAA